UCAACAUUUUAGGCCUGUGAUUGGCUUAUAGCGUUAAUGCUGCCCCCUACUGGGAACCACUGAGUUACCCAGAGUUAACAUUUAUAUUUUUUUAAUUUGUUGGCAUCAUUACAUUCUCCUCAUACUAAUUUAGUUUAUUCAUUUAUUUAUAAAGUGUUUAUUUUUAAAGACCAGUUUAGAUGGUCGAUCCUAACCAACCCCGACUUGACGACAACGUCAUAAUUCAAGAUGGCAGCAAAGUGCAUCAGCAGUAAAGAGUAACAGUAAAAGCACUUGUCUUUUUUGAUUUAUCAGCACUUCUGUUUUGUUUUUGAGAAAUUAAAUAAGUGGUUUAUGUUGUACGGCCCAACGUCUAACUGUGAACACGGUGCGGUGGUGUUUGUAGAGUAAAAAACUGUGUUAUGUGUUGUUUACAACCGGUAUAGCUAUCAACAACUAACAACAGCUAACAACGGGUAACUGUAGGCAUCCAUCUUGGUUUUCUGACUUGUUAACUAUAUCGCCGUCAACUCGGGUGUAACGUCAUUCCCAGCUCGGACAUCUGACGUCCGAGGUAACUGGAACGCAGAACUAUUUGAAGCUGUAAAAAUGGGAAUAACAUCACGAUUGACAGCUGUGCCGACCAAUGAGGUUCUUCCGCCAGAUAAUCAAGAUAGGGCAGAAAUAACAAACCCUCAGAGGAGGGCGCAAGAUUUAGAUCUUCAUUGUUAAUUAUCAAAGUCAAUUUUUAAGAAAACUUUUAAUGUAGACUUAAAAAAACAAACGUUACCGUGUGUUUGUCUCAGUUCUGGUCUCAAAAAGUUUGAAGAUAUUAAACUAAGACAAUCGUUUCUUCAUUUGAACAUCUAAUGUCUCUAAAUUACACGUUUAAUUCUGCUCUCUCAUGGGAAGAUGGAUCACAAACACCUUGAGCAGAGAGUGAACGGCCUUUACAGACUUGAAGUAAUCUGUGAAUCUCUAAUAUUAAAUCUUUGACUGGACCUCUGGUUCUUCUGUGUGGUAGUUUCUGCAUCGCUCGGCUAAAUUCCCGACCUCGGGGGGGUUUUCUACUCUGUGUUUUUUUAGUCAAUAAAUAAAUCCAAGGUCACGCUGAUGAAGCUGCUGCUGCUGCUUCUGGUUUUGUGAAAAUGUUGUAAUGUGUUUGCGCAGCGGUCUCCUUGGUGAGAGUGAAACAGUUUUUAAGUGAAAGUCCCCGAGCUGAGAGCAGCAUUCAGCACUCCGUCCUGCAGACCCAGACCCAGACCCACCCUGAUGAAAUACUGUGUGUUUCAGGACUCCUGUGUGUGGCAGCGUCUGGUUUUCGGGGGGAAACACCCAGCUGUAAAUAUGUGGGUCUGUUUGAAGCUUUGAAAACAGCAUCCAUCCUCUCAAUGAAGCGUGCUGACUGGUUUUUCUCUCUUCGGGGGUUUCGGACCGACAGCGCAGACGCUUCGUUCUCACAUUCUUUAUUCGCUGGCCGUGUUUUCUUUCCCUCCGCACACCGCGGGGCGUCUGGAUGGAAAUCCACAAUUUACAUUCUCAUGAUGUCUCACACACCCACAGAGACUCACAGGUCAGUCAGAGGAAAACAAUCAGGGGUCAGAGGUCACCGGCGCCCAAAAGAACAGCGAGGAUUUAUACUCUGUGUCUACAAAUAACUUCAGUUUGAGGGAAAAUUCAUAAAAACAAACGGGUUCAGCACUGUGCACACACACACACACACACACACACACACACACACACACACAUGCACGCACACAUACACACAUAUAUAAACACAACCCAAAACCAAGGAACACAAGUUAGGAGCCGAUAAUCAAUUAUUCCCAAAUUAAUGAAUAUGCUGUCUUCUUAGAACACACCCACUCCUGCAGCACACACACACACACACACACACACACACACACACACACACACACACACACACACACACACACACACACACACACACACAAAAACAGAGCUACUCUAUGUUUCAUGCUGUCUGUUUGACUUAUUUUACCCUCUUUAAUGAGAAAUAUCAGGUUACAGCGUGUGUGUGUGUCUGUGUGUGUGUGUGUGUGUGUGUGUGUGUGUGUGUGUGUGUGUGUGCAGAGAGCUGAGGAUGGAAAACAGAGAGGAAAGCGUCACAAAGUGAACUCAGAGCUGAACCAGCUUCACUCAGGACUGUUAAAGUCCAGAACCAGGAUCUGUACAAGAGUCAGGGAUACUCUCAGACCCUUUCACACACACACUUCACUUUAAAAAUGUCCAAACAUGAAGCUAUUUGAGCUUCAUGUCACUCAGGAGUGGAUUAACCUCAGAGGACUACACUCAGCUCUGAGGGAACCAACACACCUAGAGUCUACAGUAUCAGGUCUGCCUCAUAAACUGUCUAACUUCAAGAGACCUCAUGCAUGCAAACAUACAUGCAUGCACUUACUCCUGCAGCUCACUGAGUAUCAGUUUGUUCAAAAAGACUAAAUAAAACUAAAUAAAACACUGAGUCGUCUUACAGACUCACUAGUAACAUGUAGCUCGUACAACCCUACUUCAAAUAAUAUCCCUUUAAAGGGAUAUUCCGGCGUGAAAUUAAUUGAGGGUCAAACACACCGUAACACUGAGUUAGACCCUCCCUCUAGAGAUGAAUGUUGUCGACCGCUUGCUUCUCUAGUUAAACCAACUUUAGUAACGACUGCAGGAUAGUAAUACACAGCGGUCUGAGGAGCCAUAAACAAACCUCAACCAAAACGCCACUCUAUAGCCACAAAUAAUGCUCAGAACAGCACCUAACUUCAUCAACAGGACAUAUAGGGUCACAGACAUAGUACUAUAUUCAGAGUUGUUCUAACUCCUAAGAAAACAUAAACUUAAGCGGGGGCGUUUCUCCACUUCUGUAGUCUAUAAGCUGGGCCAAGAAACUUCUACUGUAGUAAAAUGAAAAGGUAAAGGUGUUUUUAUUGAGCCGAAUUAUCAAUAAAAUCAUGAUUUUGUUAACAGGUAUAGAUAUAUGUGCUGUCGAGUUAAUAUAUUUGAACAAGAGCACAGUAAAGUUAAAUCAGCUAAUUUUCCAAUGAGGUUCUGUUACUGAACAGAACUACACCAUGUUCUACUGAGGUUAGUACAUAUAGGGUCACAGACAUAGUACUAGACACCAAACAUCUUUUUAACUUUGACUCAUUUCUUUAGCAAAGAGACUAAACACAACUCACCUACUCUCUUCCAGCAGACGCUUGUUUGUAGAGAGACCUCAGGCCAGUCCAUUACAGACUACAGCGGGGUGCCGCAGCUCAAGGAAGAACAUUUAUG